CUGGCAGAAGGCAAAGAGUGGGAAUAAAGGGGGCCUUUACUUGUCACUCGCUAUUCUACAGGGGACUGCUUCUUUUCACCAUAAACAGUUUUAGAUGCUCUUUAAAAUAUAUCUUGCCACCAGACUUCAAAUGACUCUGCAUCUAUGAGACCUCCGUGAAGUCAUGCUUUAUCACCUUCAUGGCCCGAUGUGAAGGCAACAGAAAUGAGCAAGAAGAGGCAACAUGGGAAGAUGAACAUUUGUCAUCCUCAAUGUCACUGCACACCAAUGACAUAAAGCAUGGUUCAUCAGACCAAAUGCUGCUUCAACUCCUCCCUUCUGCUGUCCUCUGCAUUCAUUCAUCUCAGGAAGGGAUAUGGAGAAACAAGAAAAUCCCAGGGAUUUUGCGGAAUUCCAGUGACAGCAAGAUGCAGCAAGGUCUAAAAUUUGAACAUGCCAGUCAGGGCAUUUGGUAACCGUUAUUUAUCACUGGGGAGAAGAGCUACAGACAAAGAAAUCAUUAGCAUGAUAUCACAACUUAAUAAAGUGAUGAAUAUGCAAAUAAAAAUUUUAAUCAGGAAUAGAACCGAAAAGAAAAUUAUGUUAAACUUGCACAGAUAACGAAUAAGAGUACCAUCCGUAAAAUGCUGGAGGAACUCAGCAAGUCAGGUAGCAUUUAUAGAUGGGAAAAUUCCCUUCAAAAGAUGCUGCCUGCACUGCUGAGUCCUCCCUGUGUAUGUUGUUUGAGAUUUCCAGCAUCUAUAGAACCUCUUAAGUUUUUGACCCAGCGUGGAUAACUUCACUCACCUCAACACUGAACUGUUUGCACAAUCUAUAGACUUACUUUCAGACUCCACAACUCAUGCCACAAUGGUAUUUAUUUAUUUAUACACUUAGAAUACUUCCACAGUUUUUCUUUUGCUCGGUUGUUUAUCAGUCUUUGUGUGUAGCUUGUCAUUGAUCCUAUUAUAUUCCUUUGUUCUAAUGUGAAUGCCCGCAAGAAAAUGAAUCUCAGGGUACUAUAUAUACU